CCCAAGAGGAGACCAGCGUCUACAACAGCACCCAGGGGUGCUACAACAGCACCCAGAGUCUACAGCAGCACCCAGGGGUGCUACAGCAGCACCCAGGGUCUACAGCAGCACCCAGCGUCUACAGCAGCACCCAGGAGGAGACCAGCGUCUACAACAGCACCCAGGGGUGCUACAGCAGCACCCAGAGUCUACAGCAGCACCCAGAGUCUACAGCAGCACCCAGAGUCUACAGCAGCACCCAGAG